UACAGAGGUCUCAAGCGUUGUUCGGAUUCAUUGGGCGUAAAGGGUGCGUAGGUGGCGCUGUAAGUCGGGUGUGAAAUUUCGGAGCUUAACUCCGAAACUGCAUUCGAUACUGCGGUGCUUGAGGACUGGAGAGGAGACUGGAAUUCAUGGUGUAGCAGUGAAAUGCAUAGAGAUCAUGAGGAAGACCAGUGGCGAAGGCGGGUCUCUGGACAGUUCCUGACACUGAGGCACGAAGGCCAGGGGAGCAAACAGG
rnacentral:rRNA from 1 species